rnacentral:lncRNA from 1 species
UUCCGUACCGCUCAUAUUAUUCAGUUGCAUCUCCCCGUAUUAUAGAUUAGAUGCCCAUGCAUUAAUAAUAUAAUAGAAAAACUACAGUAGAAAAUUCAAAACAUUUCACAUGGCCAAGAUACAGACGGUUAGAUCAAAUAAAGAAAAGAUCUAAUUCAUCGAGUGCAAAAAUAUCAAAAGAAAAUCGAGAAAAAAAAGAUAAAAAUAAAGCAUAUAAAUAUUUAUGUGGUUCGAUCACUGUCCUACAUCCACGGACAAAAACGUAGCGAAGAUUUUUAUUAUAAUCAAAAUUGUAUACAAAAUAUAUCUCUUUCACAGAAUUCUAGAUCCCUAUACUUACUCUUAUUUACUGCACCAAAUUAAUAGAAUAAAGGUAUAUUUAUAAUAAUAACUAAAUUAUAAUACAAUUAGAAAUACUAACCCACUAAAAUUAAAAAUAAUCGUAGUAAAAUUAGACAUAAUUUAAAUUUAAUUUAAUAAAAUA